CAACUAAACACAUUCUCUAAAAAUAAGAGUUUUUUUCAGCAAAUAAAUUCUCAAUUUUAACUAAUUUUAUAGUUAUUUUGGAAAUUUUGUUGUUAAAAUCAACUAAUUCAAAAACAGUAAUACGAAUUAGGCGCAGAGCUAAUUUCGGUCGUUCCGUGAGGAUGUAUGAAGUAAAUAAUACCUCUAUAAACAAGCAGGCAAAAUUAGAUGCGCGCGCAGGUAUAGCAAGUGAUGUGUGUGAGCCAGGGUCCCGUCACGGGAUGGAAAGAAAAAACCGUGAAUAUUGCAGUUAAUGUUGCGCGACACGACAUUUACAUCUGUUGUUAGAAGAAAUACUUGUAUAAAAAAACACUUGCAUUUCACUGCACUCAGGAGGUACAUUACUUUUCCGAAAGCAGCCACUGCGCAUUGUUACCGUACCUUGCGCACUAGUCGUAGCACUGCAGAAGUUUCGUUGGACGAGGCAGAAGGUGUGAAAAAGCGGACAUCGAACGAGCUGGGAACUGGCUUCGUAGUGCUGGGCAAGACGCGUCAACGAGUGAUUGGGUGGCAGCCAAUCAACGCUAGGAUGUGUAAAUUGAGAAUUAAAGGCACCCGGUGAUCGACAGCAACUAGUUUAAAGUCGGGUAUAAAUAAUUGAUAUAAAAAAGAAUUAAAGGUCGCUUUUUCAAUUACAGCAUCAUUAACGUGAACUGCCCACACGAAGGGAGUCCCGAAGACGAGAAAGAAGUGUUCUACGUACACCCGAUCAACAUAUCGUCUCUGAACUAUUUCUAUUUUUGAUACUUGCUAGAAAAUUUUGAUAUUUUAACUACAAACUAGACCAGACUUAUAUCAGCAUUUGCUACGAAAACAAGUUUUUGUUAUAAACUUGUUAGGUUGGAAAGAGAGGCAAUGUACCGACCGGUAAUCGAGCCGAACAGCCUGCAUGCCGCAUCGAACAACAACGGCCAACGAUGUGUUAACUUUGCGGCCUCCCGAGGAAUGGUAGUCAGACCUUCUUCCCCCGCAAGGAUAUCAAUCAAGCUACCUGAAGAUCACCUGAAUAACAGACCGAAAACCAAAUAUACCACGUUUUGAUCGCCGGUAAAUUUUUCUCAGACAUCAACAAUGUUCACUCAAUGUUCGGACCCCAACUGUAUGUUGGUUGCUGUAUGCAUGCGCUCAAAACUUUCGACGAAGCCGACCGUCGCGGUUCAACAUCGAGCGGCUCCGGGAUGCUGAAGUAGCUCAAGAUUACGCGCAGCAGUUGGUAGUGGCACUAACAACGGAAGAGCAGCUUGGUGCAAGCAAUUGAAUUGAACUGAAUCAAAUAUACUGAGUCUUAGAUUCAAAUUCUUGGCAAUUGAUUAAAAUAUUUCGUCCUUGAAUCAAAUGCCAGAGAUUAUUGAUUCUAAAAUUUUCAUCGAAUCAAACUUUGGUACUAGUUGAUUUUAUGAUAUUUAACACAACUUUUGCUAAGAUUUCAUCACAUCAUUCAAACGAAAAACGUCGUUCGAAAAAGUAAUAAUUUUCGAAGCAGUUGAUGAAUUGAAACUCUCUGCGCUAUUGAAAUCGUUCUAAUUGUGCGAUACUAUAGUGAGUGCUUUCAUCGGAUAGAAAAUGUGUUCACAUUCUAGAAAACAUCAACCGUACUCAGUUAAGCUCACAAAAUGUAAUCAAUAAUAAAUAAAAAUUUUAUUUACUAUGUUUA